CACAUAGAACACACAGGCUCUGGCCUCAGGGGAUGAAAUGUUCCCAGAUUCACUAGGCUGCCUCGCUAUUAAGGAGUAUGCCCUUUCAUUAUUUUUGAUAUAAAGUUUGAUUCAACUCCUCUUUCUCAGCACUGAGGAGGCUACACCUGGAGUACUGUGUCCAUUACAGGACUAACCCCCAUGAGAGAGGGGUGGACAUACGGGAGAGCACCAGAGAAAAUUCUCAAGGAUAAUGAAGGAACUGCAGCAUCUCCCCUGUUAGGAAGUGCUGAAAGUGCUGCCUACAGACUCUUCAAUCUGAAGAAGACUUUGAAUGGGAUAUUUUUUCAAGGGAUAUCCAUACCUGAUAGGAGAGUGCAAAGAAGACUGAGCAGGCUCUUUUAAGGGAUGCCCAGUGACAACAGGCACAAAGCAAAACACUGCAAGGCAAAAACCUUCCCUCUGAACAUCAGAAAACCUUUUUUCUGCUGUCACAGUAACUGAGCAGCAACACAUCUAGCCCAGGGUGCUCAUGGGAUCUCCUUCCUUAGAGAAACUCGGAAGCUGUGUGGCUCUGGUCCCUGGCCACCAUCUUUCAGUGGCUCUGCUUAAGCAGGGGAGGUUGGACCAGUUGACAUCUGGCAAUCUUUUUUCAGCUCAGUCACAUUGAGGUGAUUCUAUGACUCAAAGCACACUUGUGCAAGCUAAGAAAGCAUGUUGGGGUUGCCUGAUGUGGUAAGAUUUCAAUGCUUCUUUAUGCUCAUGAAGAGUCAGGUUUGCCUCGUAAAAGUCAGUCAUCCAUGAAUCUGCGACUUUUUACCUCCAGGAGCUUUAUCAGUGACUGUACAGAGAACAAACAAGCAAAUUGAAAGCAUGAGGGCAGUAUAGGGUUAAACAUCUCCUUAAAGGUAUUGGUAUGUUUUCAUAGCAUGCAUUGCACAUCGCCAUAGUUUUCCCAGGUGCUUCUCAAGUCACAGUUUACAACUCAUUCAACUUGCUGCAUGUCAGUGCUGUGAAAGAAAGUGGGCACCUUGAUCCUGAUGUGAAUUCCUUGAUGACAGCAUCCUAAUCCUUCUGUUUUGUGACAGUACUAGUCAUGGACUCUAUACACAGAGAGUAUAGAGUCAAGGAUGACUGUAAUUCAGUACAAAAAUUGAAUACAGAUUGUUUUCAAUGAAAGUUUGGAUCACCACGGUCUUUUGACAAAGCUCCUCUUCAUACCAGUCUCACUGGAAAGUAAAAAUUUUCCAGAUUCCCAGCAAGACUGUUGAAACCUUAUCUUCACACACUUCCAAACUGAACCCUGUGUGAUCAAAGAUACAGGCCAACAAAAGGUGCUAUUUAGGCCUUCAUGGUCCCUCAAACAAGUGGAAUUAUCAGCACAGAUUAAUAUCUGCAAUUAAACCUGCCUACUCCUCAUUCCUGAGCACAUCUUACACAGGAUGGUUUUCAUUGUUCUGUGUACUGGCCUCUCCAAAAUGAUGAAGGAGAGAUGUGACUGGUAUCCUGGGGACAGCAUCAGGACUAUUAUAGAGCAUGAAUGCUGAAGUCCUAGUAAACAAAAUAAACUCAGUAACCAAGUGUUUUAUACCAAUUGAAACCAAUUGCUCUUAUCAGGUAUAUUACCUCAAUGAGAAAGGAUUGAUGAAAAGGAUUGCCAAUUUAUAUAAUGACUAUUCUAAGUAGUGCCUGUACCAAUACCUAUUAGUUGUAUCCAAACGCAAUUGUGGAUACAACUUCGUACAGCAGCAAUUACAAAGGAAGGCAAUGUACUUUCCCCACUGAAAUUCAUAAAGUAAUCUGGGAUAAUUCAAAUAAAUUUCAAAGAAAUUU